rnacentral:rRNA from 1 species
AUGUUUCUCGUAUAUGGAAGUGACAAAGAGCUCAUCAUAAAAGGUUACGUUGAUGCAAGCUUUGACACUGAUCCGGACGAUUCUAAAUCACAAACCGGAUACGUGUUUACAUUAAACGGUGGAGCUGUCAGUUGGUGCAGUUCUAAACAAAGCGUCGUAGCGGGAUCUACAUGUGAAGCGGAAUACAUAGCUGCUUCGGAAGCAGCAAAUGAAGGAGUCUGGAUGAAGGAGUUCAUAUCCGAUCUAGGUGUCAUACCUAGUGCAUCGGGUCCAAUGAAAAUCUUUUGUGACAAUACUGGUGCAAUUGCCUUGGCAAAGGAAUCCAGAUUUCACAAAAGGACCAAACACAUCAAGAGACGCUUCAACUCCAUCCGGGAUCUAAUCCAGGUGGGAGACAUAGAGAUUUGCAAGAUACAUACGGAUCUGAAUGUUGCAGACCCGUUGACUAAGCCUCUUCCACGAGCAAAACAUGAUCAGCACCAAAGCUCCAUGGGUGUUAGAUUCAUUACAGUGUAA